GACGAACGCUGGCGGCGUGCCUAAUACAUGCAAGUCGAACGCAGUGGGGACGGGUGAGUAACCCGUGGGUAACCUCCCAUCAGAGGGGAGAACACUUGGAAACAGGUGCUAAACCGACACUGAUGGAUGGACCCGCGGUGCAUUAGCUAGUUGGUGAGGUAACGGCGCACCAAGGCCACGAUGCAGAGACGACCUGAGUGGGUGAUCAGCCACACUGGGACUUAGACACGGUUCAUACUCCUACGGGAGGCAGCAGUAGGGAAUCUUGGACAAUGGGCGAAAGUCUGACCGAGCAAUGCCGCGUGAGUGAAGAAGGUUUUCGGAUCGUAAAGCACUUUUAUUAUGGAAGCGGUAUCAAACCAUAAAGCCACGGCUAACUACGUGCCAGCAGCCGCGGUAAUAC
rnacentral:rRNA from 1 species